rnacentral:rRNA from 1 species
AACGCGAAGAACCUUACCUGGGCUUGAACCGCCGGUGACCAGCGGUGGAAACAUCGCCUUCCCGCAAGGGACACCGGUAGAGGUGCUGCAUGGCUGUCGUCAGCUCGUGCCGUGAGGUGUUGGGUUAAGUCCCGCAACGAGCGCAACCCUUGUUUGCUGUUGCCAUCAGGUUAUGCUGGGCACUCUGCAAAGACCGCCGGUGAUAAACCGGAGGAAGGUGGGGAUGACGUCAAGUCAGCAUGGCCUUUAUGUCUGGGGCUACACACGUGCUACAAUGGCCGGUACAAACCGUCGCGAGCCCGCGAGGGGGAGCUAAUCGGAGAAAGCCGGUCUCAGUUCGGAUAGCAGGCUGCAACUCGCCUGCUUGAAGUUGGAAUCGCUAGUAAUCGCGGAUCAGCACGCCGCGGUGAAUACGUUCCCGGGCCUUGUACACACCGCUGUA